AGCGAACGCUGGCGGCAGGCUUAACACAUGCAAGUCGAACGCCCCGCAAGGGGAGUGGCAGACGGGUGAGUAACACGUGGGAACGUACCCUUUGGUUCGGAUAACUUGGGGAAACUCAAGCUAAUACCGGAUAAGCCCUUAUGGGGAAAGGUUUACUGCCGAAGGAUCGGCCCGCGUCUGAUUAGCUAGUUGGUGAGGUAAUGGCUCACCAAGGCGACGAUCAGUAGCUGGUCUGAGAGGAUGAUCAGCCACACUGGGACUGAGACACGGCCCAGACUCCUACGGGAGGCAGCAGUGGGGAAUAUUGGACAAUGGGGGCAACCCUGAUCCAGCCAUGCCGCGUGAGUGAUGAAGGCCUUAGGGUUGUAAGGCUCUUUUACCCGGGACGAUAAUGACUGUACCGGGAGAAUAAGCCCCGGCUAACUUCGUGCCAGCCGCCCAGUAA
rnacentral:rRNA from 1 species